rnacentral:rRNA from 1 species
CCUACGGGUGGCAGCAGUGGGGAAUAUUGGGCAAUGGGCGCAAGCCUGACCCAGCAACGCCGCGUGAAGGAAGACGGCCCUCGGGUUGUUAACUUCUUUUCUCAGGGAGGAAGAAUGUGACGGUACCUGAGGAAUAAGCCACGGCUAACUACGUGCCAGCAGCCGCGGCAAUACGUAGGGGGCAAGCGUUAGUCGGAUUUACUGGGUGUAAAGGGCGUGUAGGCGGGGAGGCGAGGUAGAUGGGAAAACGACGGGCUCAACCUGUGGCGUGCCUUUGAAACUGUUUUUCUUGAGUACUGGAGAGGCAGACGGAAUUCCUAGUGUAGCGGUGAAAUGCGUAGAUAUUAGGAGGAACACCAGUGGCGAAGGCGGUCUGCUGGACAGCAACUGACGCUGAGGCGCGAAAGCGUGGGGAGCAAACAGGAUUAGAUACCCCUGUAGUC